rnacentral:rRNA from 1 species
CCUACGGGAGGCAGCAGUGGGGAAUUUUGGACAAUGGGCGAAAGCCUGAUCCAGCAAUGCCGCGUGCAGGAUGAAGGCCCUCGGGUUGUAAACUGCUUUUGUACGGAACGAAGAGCCUGGGGCUAAUAUCCCCGGGUCAUGACGGUACCGUAAGAAUAAGCACCGGCUAACUACGUGCCAGCAGCCGCGGUAAUACGUAGGGUGCAAGCGUUAAUCGGAAUUACUGGGCGUAAAGCGUGCGCAGGCGGUUUUGUAAGACAGUGGUGAAAUCCCCGGGCUCAACCUGGGAACUGCCAUUGUGACUGCAAGGCUAGAGUGCGGCAGAGGGGGAUGGAAUUCCGCGUGUAGCAGUGAAAUGCGUAGAUAUGCGGAGGAACACCGAUGGCGAAGGCAAUCCCCUGGGCCUGCACUGACGCUCAUGCACGAAAGCGUGGGGAGCAAACAGGAUUAGAUACCCUGGUAGUCCACGCCCUAAACGAUGUCAACUGGUUGUUGGGUCUUAACUGACUCAGUAACGAAGCUAACGCGUGAAGUUGACCNCNCGGGGAAUNCNCUAGUGAAUUNG